rnacentral:rRNA from 1 species
AUGAACGCUGGCGGCGUGUUUAAGGCAUGCAAGUCGAGCGACGUGUUCCCGCAAGGGAAUUACGAGCGGCAAACGGGUGAGUAACACAUUGGUAACCUACCUUGAAGACAGGGAUAGCUCGCCGAAAGGCGGAUUAAUACCUGAUGGCAAUGCGGGGACGCAAGUCAUUCGCAUUUAAAGCCGCAAGGCGCUUCAAGAGGGGCCUAUGGCCUAUCAGCUAGUUGGCGGGGUAAAAGCCCACCAAGGCAACGACGGGUAGCAGGCGUGAGAGCGCGGUCUGCCUCACUGGGACUGAGAUACUGCCCAGACACCUACGGGUGGCUGCAGUCAAGAAUAUUCCACAAUGGGGGAAACCCUGAUGGAGCGACGCCGCGUGCAGGAUGAAGGCCUUCGGGUCGUAAACUGCUUUUGCAGGGGACGAAUUAUUGACGGUACCCUGAGAAUAAGAGGUUGCUAACUCUGU